AACGUAGGACGCAAACGUUAUCCGGAAUUACUGGGCGUAAAGAGCGUGUAGGCGGAUGAGUAAGUUGUCCGUGAAAGCUCCCGGCUAAACUGGGAGAGGUCGGAUAAGACUGCUGAUCUAGAGGGUGUUAGAGGGGUGCGGAAUUCCGGGUGUAGUGGUGAAAUGCGUAGAGAUCCGGAGGAACACCAGAGGCGAAGGCGGCACCCUGGGACAUACCUGACGCUGAGACGCGAAAGCAUGGGGAGCGAACGGG
rnacentral:rRNA from 1 species